CAAAUCACUUUUAGGGAAGUAUUUCGUUUACAUUGAAAUUAUUAUUGUGCAAUUCAAUAUGAUUUGA
rnacentral:tRNA from 1 species